rnacentral:rRNA from 1 species
AUUGAACGCUGGCGGCAUGCUUUACACAUGCAAGUCGAACGGUAACAGGCCUUCGGGUGCUGUCGAGUGGCGAACGGGUGAGUAAUGCAUCGGAACGUACCCAGAGGUGGGGGAUAACGCAGCGAAAGCUGUGCUAAUACCGCAUGUGAUCUGAGGAUGAAAGCGGGGGACCGAGCAGCAAUGUUUGGCCUCGCGCCUUUGGAGCGGCCGAUGUCGGAUUAGCUAGUUGGUGGGGUAAAGGCCUACCAAGGCGACGAUCCGUAGCUGGUCUGAGAGGACGACCAGCCACACUGGGACUGAGACACGGCCCAGACUCCUACGGGAGGCAGCAGUGGGGAAUUUUGGACAAUGGGCGCAAGCCUGAUCCAGCAAUGCCGCGUGCGGGAAGAAGGCCUUCGGGUUGUAAACCGCUUUUGGCAGGAACGAAACGGUGUCCGCUAAUACCGGGCGCUAAUGACGGUACCUGCAGAAUAAGCACCGGCUAACUACGUG